rnacentral:lncRNA from 1 species
CACAAAGCCACUUGGCACCAGCAGCGUGUGUCAGCAAGAGAGCAGAAGCAGGAAGAGAGCCAGCCAGAAGACACGUACCCCUGAAGAUCGAGAAAGAGGCCAUCCAGGUACAACGUAGCAGUCAGACUAGGACACUUCCUGUUUACAGGAGACUAUCAAACCUUUGUCCCAUCCUCACUUAGGGCUGACGCCAUUUUAGGCCUCAGCCGGCCUGCACCCAGGCACUCAUUAAAACAGCAUAUUGCUCCACACCGCAUCGUGUUGUCUGUUGGCAUGCUUUUGGGGUUUGAACCAAUACAAGAACCUUACAUCUGGUACCAAAACCUGGGAGUGGCUCAGGUCUGCAUACCCUGUGGACCUAACCCUCCACCCCAGAGAGCAGGCCACAGCUGCCAGACAAAGGAAGCUCCUCAGCCUCCAGUCACCUCUCCGUGCAUGCACAUCGGUCACUGAUCUCGCCUACUGAGGCCCUGCAGGUCCCUGAGGCCGCAGCUCCACAAAGAAGCCUCCUAGCAAUCCACCUCCACCUGGUGCCUGUUUCAAGUGCAGCAAUGAAGGCCACUGGUCCAAACAAUGCCCAAACCCAGGUAAGCCCACCAGCCUGUGCCCCUUCUGUGGAGGACCCCACUGGAAGUCGGACUGUGAGCAGCUCCUGCAAGGACUGCCCCCAUCCUUCCCUGAGGUGACCAAAACCUCCUACUUGGAUCUCUUCCGCCUUGCCGCUGAAGACUGAUGGUGCCCUGGAAUGGAUGCCCCAGCAACUACCAUUGCUUCAUUCAAGCCAAAGGUAACCCUGAUAGUGACAGGCACAGGCGUGAUUCCAGACAAUCCAGAUGAUGCUCCUGCUACAACGACACGGUGGAUACCAACCCGUCUCUCAAGAAUACCCAAAAAAUGAAAGUUUUUCUUUUUCUAAGGCCCAGUCCCAAGACACAAGGCCACUUGGCGCCAGCAGGGUGCAUCAGCAAGAGAGCAGAAGCAGGAAGAGAGCUGGCCGGAAGACACGCACCCCUGAAGAUCGAGAAAGAGGCCAUCCAGCAACGUGUGUGAAUUCCAGUCACUCUGCACCUUCUCCAGCAAUAGGUACAUUCAGGUUUUUUGUUUUUAAGUCUUUCUUAUAGGCAUGAAAUUUUAUUUUACUGCACAUUUACCCUCGACUAAUGAUGUUGACCAUUUUUUCAUAUGCUUAUUUGCUAUUUUUACAUCUCUUUCAGUGAAAUGUCUGUUCAAGUCUUUUGUCCACUUUUUAAAUAGAUCUCUUAUUUACUUAUUAUUGAGUUUUGAGUCUUAGUUGUAUAUUGUGGAUGCACAUGUUUAAUCAGAUAUGUUUUACAAACAUUUUCUUUUUUUCCUUUUUUUGAGAGAGAGUCUUGCUCUUUUGCCCAGACUGCAGCAUAAUGGUGCCAUCUUGGUUCACUAAGGCCUCUGCCUCCUGAGUUCAAAUGAUUCUCCUGCCUCAGCCUCCU